CAAUAGCGUAUAUUAAAGUUGUUGCAGUUAAAAGCUCGUAGUUGGAUUUCGGAGUGGGCUAGUUGGUCCGCCGCAAGGUGUGUUACUGACUGGUUUGCUCUUCUUCGCAAAGACUGCGUGUGCCCUUAAAUGAGUGUGCGUAGGAUUUACGACGUUUACUUUGAAAAAAUUAGAGUGUUCAAAGCAGGCUAUUGCUUGAAUACAUGAGCAUGGAAUAAUGGAAUAGGACUUUGGUCCCAUUUUGUUGGUUUCUAGGGCCGAAGUAAUGAUUAAGAGGGACAAUUGGGGGCAUCCGUAUUUCGUUGUCAGAGGUGAAAUUCUUGGACCUACGGAAGACUAACAGCUGCGAAAGCGUUCGCCUAGGACGUUCUCUUUAAUCAAGAACGAAGGUUGGGGGAUCGAAGACGAUUAGAUACCA
rnacentral:rRNA from 1 species